GGGCAGGUGGCGGAAUGGCAGACGCGCAGGUCUCAAAAACCUGUGGGUGCAAACUCAUGAGGGUUCGACUCCCUCCUUGCCCA
rnacentral:tRNA from 1 species